GGCGAUAUAGCUCAGUUGGUUAGAGCGUGGGAUUCAUAAGCCCGAGGUCACAGGUUCGAAUCCUGUUAUCGCUA
rnacentral:tRNA from 3 species